AGUCCAGUCAGUCACGUCUACUGCUUGCAGCUGAGACCAGAAAGUGAAAGUUUUAACCAUGAGCCGAUUCAUUCUGUUGCUUAUGCUUGUGUGUUGGAUGUGUACUUCAUUGUGCAUGGCGUUCCGAAUGGAGAGGUCAGAGCGCUGUCUCUGUAAGAAACUCUACAGGAUCCACCCGAAAAAAAUCUUUGAAUGGAAACUGUAUUCUCCUAGUGCUUCAUGCAAAGCUUAUGAGAUUGUGGUGACGACAAACGCUGGUCGGAAAAUGUGUCUCCAUCCAGACUCGAAAUUAUGGAAAGUCAUAAUAAAAGGAGAGCGUGGACCAAUAUAACGCCUAAAAGCAAGACUCUGGGUGUCAAUGUCUAAGCCCAACAUUUAAAAAAAUGGUCAACACUGCUGAAUUUGAUUAUAUAUAAGAAUUUGCCCUUAUAAUACUGCUAUGUGUUUAUGUUUAUAUGUAUGGUUGAAUGUAAUGUGCUUGUUCGUGGCAGCUACACAGUUAAAAUAUUCACAAAACAAUAUAGCAUGGAAACCACCCAGAGCCCCAAACAGCCCAGAUAAGUUACAUAACUAUGCAGAUCUCAUCAUACAGCUGUUGUGUCUGGAAUAAUCAGUAUGUAAUUACAUAAUUGUGGACAACAUUUAAACGCAACAUUAUCCUUUGUCUAAAUGCAUACCAGCGUUUUUUUUAUAUGUAUAAUUACAUAUAUAACAUAUGUAUUUUUAAAUGUUAUAUGUGUUGUGUUAAUAAAAUUAAAA